rnacentral:rRNA from 1 species
AGGGUAAGGCCCCCUAUAGACGAUGGGGUUGAUAGGCCGGGUGUGGAAGCCUUGUGAGGGGUGGAGCUGACCGGUACUAAUAGGCCGAGGGCUUGUCCGC